rnacentral:rRNA from 1 species
UACGAAGGGGGCUAGCGUUGCUCGGAAUCACUGGGCGUAAAGGGCGCGUAGGCGGCCAUUCAAGUCAGAGGUGAAAGCCCAAGGCUCAACCUUGGAAUCGCCUUUGAUACUGUUUGGCUUGAGACCGGAAGAGGUAAGUGGAACUGCGAGUGUAGAGGUGAAAUUCGUAGAUAUUCGCAAGAACACCAGUGGCGAAGGCGGCUUACUGGUCCGGUUCUGACGCUGAGGCGCGAAAGCGUGGGGAGCAAACAGG